AGCGAACGCUGGCGGCAGGCUUAACACAUGCAAGUCGAGCGGGCGUAGCAAUACGUCAGCGGCAGACGGGUGAGUAACACGUGGGAACGUACCUCUUGGUUCGGAACAACACAGGGAAACUUGUGCUAAUACCGAAUAAGCCCUUACGGGAAGAUUAUCGCCGAAAGAUCGGCCCGCGUCUGAUUAGCUUGUUGGUGAGGUAACGGCUCACCAAGGCGACGAUCAGUAGCUGGCUGAGAGGAUGAUCAGCCACACUGGGACGUGAGACACGGCCCAGACUCCUACGGGAGGC
rnacentral:rRNA from 1 species